rnacentral:lncRNA from 1 species
GAUGACCCACCUGCCUCAGCCUCCCAAAGUGCUGGCAUGAGCCACCUCACCCGGCCUAAGAAGGGAUUUAUUAUAGGGUACUAGGUGGCUUACAGAAUCAUGUGAGGGCUGAAGAAAUGAACUUGAGGUUGAGCUUUCCACAGAAAUUCCCAAAGGCCCACCACAGAACUAAACCACCAAGAGAGCUGCUGCUGCUACGCCUAGGUGGAUGCAGAAUUGCAUUGAUACGACCCUAAUCCUGAAGCCACCGCUUUCAGGGUGCCUUCCCUCCUACUGCUAAUUCUAGAACCCUACUGCACCUGCUGCUAUCUGGACCACAAAAUGUGUGCCUUUUACCCUGCCUCUCAGGAACCACAGAAUAGUGACCAUAUUCUGCAUCCUCUGCUAAUGAUGCCACAGAAGUCCAAGAGCAUCCAUCAGAAAUAGCUGUGGCAGUAGAGGUGUGACCACUGCCAUCGUCCACAUCUCACACUCGGGCAUCUAAUGGCUAAAUCCAAAUCACAUCUGGAAUCCUUUCUCAAGGGAUUCCUGGAAUCAUAGCAUUCAGCUUCCCAAUGAUGGAGGUACAGAAAGGCAUGCUGGAAGAGUGUUUUCCAAAAGUUCUGACAUAUUCUACUGUAGAAUCAUUUUCCUCACACAUACAUACAGUCACAUACGCAUCUACCUGAAAUAAAAGAUUCACAAGACAGUUGAGGCACCCUGAUGGUUUCAAUUCUAGUCUAUGCUGAGCAGUGCUAUGCUAUUCCAUGCUAUUUCAUUCCAUUAAGAAAUGCUGGUCUUGACCCACUAAGUUGGUUUCGUGAUGGACUAAUGGACGAUAACUGGCAGUUUGGAAAAACACUUCACAACAAGAAGGGAGAAAUGGAUGUUGAGUGCCAAUCCACAAUAUCUACGAUACUAUUUUAUACUAUUCCUUCCCCUGUCCUGAAUUGACAGAAAGAAUUCAAGGCUGCUCACAGAAGGGACUCAGUGAUAUGAUAAACUGCAUAGUGAACUGAGGAUCAAAAGUAGCUUCUAGUCCAUGGACCAGCAGUUUAUUUGUUUGUAAAUGAGAGCGUUGUGAUAGUUCUGUGUUGUAAUGACCGGAUUGACACCUACCUAGUAGGAAAACUGAGGGAAAUGUUGACCAGUCUAUACCUUGUACCUUUUACUAGAGGAUGGAUUAAGCCCACGAGGGAGUUUUGAUGGCAAAUGCACUAUGGUGUGCCUUUAGAAGCAACUGUUGUACUCCUGAAAAAUAUUAGUUGGCUUUAGUCCAGUUCCUGGUUUUGCAUGUAGGUGUAAAACUAAUGAUUCAUUCUGAGAGCAUGGGGGUAUAUAUUGAAUGUGAGAAGCAUGACUCAUUCACCUGCCCCAUGUUUGAAAAGCAAUUGUUAAUUACACUGUUAACAUUUGUUAAGACUUUAAUUUCUUCAUGUAGAGCUUUUAGGUAAAAGCUUAUAUUUACCAAUAACUGGGGCUUUCAAUGAGAACUUUUUUCCUGAUGCAGUGCUGGUUGGAAGGUAAUUGGUUUCAAAAAAGAAAAGCCCAUUGAGAAGGCAGAACAAAGAAACGUUUAACACAUGUUUCAUCUGUGCCAAAUAGUACACCAAGCAUUUCCAUGCACAAUCACUCGUGUAGUCCUUACAAUAGCUCUUAAUGAAGAAAUUAUGAUUUUCCUUUUUGUAGAUGAGGGAGAAAGGCUUAAAGAGAUUAAAAGGGAUUCACCCAAGGUCAUUAAACUAGAAAGUGAAAGCAUGGAAUUCACAUUCAAUUUUGGAUGACUCACACCUCCUACUUUUCCUACUGUUCCAGGAUGUCUCUGUUGCUUUCAUUAUUUGUUCAAGGUGAAUAUAAGUCAAAACAAAACCCCUCAACACAAACUUUAUUAGCAAGACGGUAAUUUUUAUCUUUUGGAAAAAAGAGACCUUCUAAUGGGUCCUUCAGCUGCCCAUUUCAUCUCUUCCUUAGCCAUAUUUUCCUCUUUUUAGGACCCUGAUAUCUAAAAGCAACAGAGAAUUGAACAGAUGAUUUGUGGGCAUUAUUUUGGUUUCAUAUCUUUUAUGGUUUUCUUUUGGUUGUGAUUGCAUUUAAGGAAACCGGAAGAAUUUGUGUUAAGGAAAGAAUAUGUUUCCCCAAAGUUCAUAUGUUGAAGUCCUAACCUAGAUGUGAUGGUAUUUGAAGGUGGGGCCUUUUGAAGGUAAUUAGGUUUAGAGGAAGUCGUUAGGAAGAGCCCACAUGAUGAAAUUAGUGCCCUUAUAGGAAGAGGAAGAGACUGGAGAGCUUGCGCUCUCUCUACUGUAAGGAGACAGCAAGAAGGCAUCUAUGUCUCUGCACGCCAGGAAGAGAGAGCACCAGAACCCAACCACGCUGGCACCUUGAUUUUGGACUUCUAGUCUCCAGCACUGGGCCCAUUGUCAGGCCUGAAGCUGGGUAUCUGACCAGGUUGUGCCCUGUCCUACACGGGAGUGGGAACUGCUCUGUACCUAGGCGUCUGCCACUGACUCAGAAGUCCAGUUUCAGGAGCAGUACAGAAACUCCUAUUUUGUACUCCAAAUAAUCCACAAGAAUUAAUUGGAUCACCUCGAAGGAGGAAAGAGAAGCUCAAAGAGAUCAGCAAAUCCACAGGGCGUGAGAUGAAGAGAAGAGAGGACCACAGGCGAGAAAGUGGCAGCAGCAAGAGAAGAUGUACCAUGAGGAAGUUCUGGGAGGUUCUGCCCGUCUUUCUGAGAACAGGGGAGAGACAGAGCUGAGUUACAACUGCACUGCUUCUUAGCUUCUUAGUUUCUCUUCAGAAUUAGUGGCAAAGAAGAGUUUUCGAAGUCUUUAGCAUGUAUUAAACGAAGAAUUUUGUUUAUAAGAAAAAAUUGUGGAUCGUUCCCAUGUUUGUCUGGAAAACUCUUGUUAAACUUUUGUGCAGCUAGUAAAUUAAGUCACUGUUUAUUCUGUGUAGUGGAAAGCAUGCUUAAACUCUA